CGUUGCUAUCAAGCCGUGCUGGUCGAGAUCCUCCCGCUUGGGCGUCUCAAGAUGGUGGGUAAAGGAUCGGAUGCAUGUACAACUGAAAAGCCAACGUGCCUAGCUUGGGCAAUAGAGGAACUCUCGGAUAGGGAUCAAAUGGUAUAUGCUGAAUCUGAGGCUCGGUAGAUACGAUAGGUGGUGCUGACUCUGGGGGUGGCAGUGGCAAAGGUGCUGUCACAGGGGUCAAAUCUCACGGCGGUAGAUCCGCACUGGGAAAUGGAAUAAGUGACAGAAACGAGAAUGGAUCAUGCUCCACCACUGGUGAGUAUGUCUCGAAAGCAGCUGGAUCCGAUAUAACAAGCUCAGAUGAAAUCGGUGUAGGAUCAGCUGGGGGUGGGGUGGGGGUGCAAUCGGAUAAGGCUCAUCUGGAAGUGGGGGUGCAUCAACUCCUCUUCCCUGAGCAGGUCCAUCUGGUACUCCACACGGUUGUGAAGGUGGCUCGCCAAAAGCAAAGUACUGGUGACUAAGCGUCGCUAUGAAACCACGGAAAUCUGCGAGCACAAAAUGACCAAAAUCGAUCCUCAAGAUGUACUGUGGCACUAGUGAAGCCACUCGGUCCUGCCACUCAGGACGUAGCUGUGGAAUCAGAUGCGUGAUAGCCUAUGCCUUAUCAAUCCCGUGUGAACUAGCCUCUAACCAGCGUCUGUGGUUGAGUGCUAAAAACUCUCCAAGCGUGUCUCGCUCUCAUGGUCCAGUGUCUCUGAACCAUCGACGCAUCGCCUCUCCUAAACGUCGUUGCAUCCUGUAAUAGAGAACAUCAUGUCUAUCAAAAAGUGGAUAUAGAACUUACUUUCAAUCAACAAUAUACUCAUCCUCGUUUGAUACGGUGGUGCAACGGCUAUACUAGCCUCAACAUUUCUCCUCAUAAUUCACAACCAGUGGCUCAUAUCAUAUUCCAUCACCUCAGACAGUUCCGCCAUCAAAACAAUACAUAACUCAGUAGUGAAUCAAACUCAACACUCAUCAUGAAAGCAAUAAAGAAAAAUCAACAACAAACUCUUACCUCGAUAAGCCAGGGGAAAUGGAGCGUUGGGGUUUUGUUUCGAACUGACUCUCAAACUAGCCUAAGAAUUCAAGUUUAGACUAGUACUCAAUUUAAAGAUAGAUGCAACCUAAGGUUCAACUUAAUCAAGAAAUAGACUCAGAGCAGAUAACCUGCUCUGAUACCACUCUGUCGCAGCCCGACGUCUAGCCAGUGAUAGCGUAGAGCGAGUAUCGAUAAGACUAAAUAAAAGAAAAGAAUAGAGGCAGGGAAAUACUAAACUCAACAUCAAGCGGAAGCAAAUAACAAGUCAUGCAAACUCGAGCAACAUAAUAACACUUCAAGGCGUAAUCGACAAAAGCUUUAUAACAGCAAAAGUAUCGGGAUUCUCGUCAACAUUUACAAAGCAGACAUAGCUAAAUAUUAGCAAAGGUUCAUACUAUGCAGAGUAUCGCAGCAAAAGGUAAACAAAUUAUAUGUAUGAAGACAUAUAAUCGAGAGUAAAUUUCUUUAUUCAAACCAAAAAGACUCCACAUUAUGGCAAUACCAUAGAAAAUAGAAAUACGGUAAAAGAAAAUGUUAUUCGAAACACGUCCCCACCAGCACCAGUCCAUCAUCCCUCCUCGCUUAUCCUGCACGUUUAGAAAUACAUGCUGGGCAUGAGUACAGAAAACUCAGUGGACAUGUGCCAAAAAACAAAGAAAGCUUGCUCUUAGAGCUAUAAAUUGAACUUGCCCGCCAUAAGCAAAACACAGGGAUAUUCAUCUUAAAAGAACCUGUGCAAGCCGUUUUAAUCAUAAACAUCAUAAAUAAAUGAUUGCACAAUUAAAGUACUCAUCAUGUAUGUACCACAUCUACACUCAUCAUCAGCCCACCUGAAGGCUUUAGCUCAAGCUCGUAAAAUAGUCGAGGCGACUUACUUCCGUCCUCCGCUCGUUUCUUCAGAUAUCGUCAUCAACGUAGAAGGUUCAUGAGAUAAAAUAAACAUCAGUUAGAAACUUACUUACUAAAGACUCCAUUCUUAUCUUAGUGCUAUCCCAUCACUCAUCUUUGAUUCACUCCAACUAUCUUAAUCUCCUAAGUAUAUACUACUUAAGAAAUCGAAAAUCAUAUUCUUGACUUAACACUCAUAUAGGACUAAACUAUAUUAAUAAUCAAACAUAUAUACAUGCACACACAUAAGGCACACAAUCUCACAUUAGCACAUAGAGAAGUUAAUCAAGUUUAUUGACAUCAUAGCAAUCCUACUUAAAAACUUUUUGUAAACUUUGAAACAUAGUUUUAGUUGGGGAAAAAUUCCCAAAAAUUGAAUUUAGAAAGUUAGUAACAUAGUAUAAAACAUUCUUAAACCAGUCAUUCAAGAAAAAUUCACAUAAACAACUAAUCUCAAAUUAUAGCAUUCUUGACAAACUAAACUCGAGACUCCUUCGUCGAACAAUUCUCUAAAAUUCAAAUCAAGCUCGCAUAAUUCACAAGAACACAAAUAUAAAAUCAUAUGACUCAAGAAAAUUUCAAAGUUGGCUUCCCCUUUGACCAUCAUUUUCGGUCAACAUCCAAAGGUGUAGGGGUUGGUUUGUUUUGUCUCAAAACGCAUAUACAAGCUCAAAUAAUCAUCACAUAGUCAUAUAUGUUCACAUCUAACUCAUAACUCAUCACAUGUGCGAGACUCUUCUUAUGCACGCAAACUAUACUCGAGGGCUUUCACAUUUCAACAAUAUUUCACAAACUAAUCAUGCUAUAAUUCUUUAUAAAGUCCAAUUAGAGCAUAGACAUCAUUAAUCCAAACGUUGACCUCAUAAAUCAUAAAUACCCAAAUCCUAGUAAACUAAACUCAAGCAAUUUCACACAUAAUCAACAAUUAAUCAAAUUGACCAUUAAUAAUCAUUCCUAGCAUGCUUAAUAACAUUUAUUCAUAGCCAAAUUUGAAAACCAACAAAUAGAUUAAAAAGCCCAAAUUUUUAUUAAACUAAACUUUUGGAAAAUUCACAAACAUGCAUAAAUCUUUAAUCAAACCUUAGAUAUAUCAAAUUGAGCUAUUCAAUCAUAUGAAUAAACCAUCAAUUAGCAUAUCAAGGCAUAGACACACAUAUAUCUAAUUCUCAUUAAACUAACUUACAUCCUCACUCAUCAAUCCAUCACAAUCAUCAAUUCAAUCCUUCAAACAUCAAGCUCAUAUGAACACUCAAUUCAUCAUUCAAUCCACAAACUCAAAAAUUCCCAAUUUUAGGCAAACUAACUUAAGUAAAAUUUCAUAACUCUUCUCAAAGCUUUGCAACACACAUAGGAAUCAUCUUAAUACACUUCAAAUAGCAUAAAUCUCACUCCAAUUUAAGAAAAGAAAGAGAAAAUUUUUUGGGGGGCUAGGGCCCCAAAUUUUCGAGAAUUAUAGAAAAGGGGAGGGGGUGUUUUCCUUGUUUUAAUCAUGCAUAUACACAGAUAUAUCACACCAUGGAGUCUAGAUCCAAGAAAUUAGAACACUUACUCAAAGAUUUAGAGAGAGAAAAAGAAAAUCCUUCACUCUUAACUCUAGCUUGGAAAAUCUUUCAAAUAACUCUUAAAUUCAAGGAUAUAGAGGUGUAGGGUUGAUUUCUAUGGAUGAUUUUUGUGUAGAGAUGAAAUAUGAAGCUUUGAAAGUCUCAUCAAUGGAGUUCCAUGGAAGAAAAGAGAGAGAGAUGAGAGAGGGGGAGGGGCGUGAGUUAGGGAGUGAGGGGGAGAGAAAGAAAUUUUUUUGGUUUUUGUUUGACGCACA
rnacentral:lncRNA from 1 species